CUCUUCUUUAGUUGUAGGGUCAAGAAUACUAGGGAAUAACAAGGAAGAGCCUGUCUUCUUCAUUCUCAGUCCUAGCAGUGCUGGCACACACUUAGAAGCUACCAGGAGCUAUUUUAAGGAUGAGGAAACUCAAGUACUGGCAGUUCCUAACCCCAGUGCCGGGUUAACCCAGGGGACCAAUUGACUCCCAGUACAACUGUUUCUCACUGCAGAAACUGCCAAGCCAUCAUAAUUUUAGCUCAUAUUAUGACGCAGAGAAGAAAACAAAAGGAUGAUUUAUUUGAAGAUUAAAAUUGUGCCUAUUUUAUGGACUCUGUAAGCUGUUGGAAACUCAAUUUUCGAGCCCUUUGAACUCCGCGUUGCCUCUAGAUUAUUUAAGGCAACCAGACAGCCACCACCACCACCACCAAAACAGAGGAGUUAAAAGCCUGCUUGAAUCACAGGACGGACAAUGGCAGUGCAUGUGAGGGACCCAGUGUUGUAGCACAAGACCUCAGAGCUACUCUUCGCACCCACAGGGAUUUUGCCGCAGCAUGGGUGAUUAAGGACUUCACAUCUGUGGCUGUGCGCCCGCCAGAAAGUCUAAAUCAAAGUUUCCUCGUGUCAGGUGCGUAUCGGCACCCAUUUCCACCCUUUCAAUAAAGCAGAGAAUUGCUUCCA